UGGGGAAUAUUGGGCAAUGGAGGAAACUCUGACCCAGCGACGCCGCGUGAGGGAUGAAGGCCUUCGGGUUGUAAACCUCUUUCAGUAGGGAAGAAGCGAAAGUGACGGUACCUAAAGAAGAAGCACCGGCUAACUAUGUG
rnacentral:rRNA from 1 species